CGGGAAUAUCAUACCAACGUUAAUGCACCAGAACCCAUCAGAACUUCACAGUUAAGCGUGCUUGGGAUAGAGUAGUACUGGGAUGGGUGACCUCCCAGGAAUAUCUUCAAAUACUUUGGA
rnacentral:rRNA from 1 species